UCCGUAAUUUCAGAUUUCCAGUCCCUCUCUCGCACUGUCUCUCUCAGUCUCUCACUAUCACUGUGCACCGCCACUUCGCCAAUUGGCCACCGAGGACCUGCUCCAACCUCCAGGGAUCGAGGCCACCGCCCACCGCCCGUCCGCCACCGCCAGCCACCCCAGCCCCUCACGUCAGUACCACAGCCGCCCCUCUGUCUGACACAGUCUCACUCUCAGUCUCUCAUUCUCCAUCUUCUGAUUCUUCUCCACACACUCACACCCCAUUCACCUAAACACCACCGUCCAUCUUUUCCGUCGUCUGCUCCAGGGAUACAGCUUUCAGAUCCACAUCGUCGCCACCGUCCACCAUAUUCUCCGUCGUGGCGCCGCCUCCAUCGCUUUCUUCAUCCAGAUCUGGUGAAUAUUUUUUCCCGGAAUUUAUUUACUGGCGAGAUGGGAGGGUGACUUGUACAAAAUGAAAUAGAGAUGAUGCUACAUAGUUGAGGUGCCAAUGCAAUGUGGGCCAAAACAGACAAACACAAAUAAAUAGAAACAAAAGCUCACUGCAUGAAUGUUACGGAGUAAAAAAUAGAGGAAGUGCACAAUGAAAUGUUUAUAAUUAAUUGAAUUCUUCAUAAGAUAAAGCUUUAAAAUGAUAAAAAAAAAAGAAAAUAAUAAUCUAUCACCUCUUUUACUGAUCUUUCUUCAUCUUUCGGUUGUGCAGUUGUGGUUCUAUGUAAAUGUGGGGUUUCAUCACCCCAGAAGAUGUAUUUAUAAGUAGCUUUUCACGUGGCUUAAGAAAUCAAAGAAAAAACAAAGAAAUUGAAGGUGAAUGGUGAACUGCUGCUGGUCUGAAUAUACUACGGAGUAAUUUAUAGAAGAAGAUUGCAGCUUGUUGAGUGGAACAAAUUCUAAUUGUGAAUCCUCGGGGCGUUAAACUCCACUGGAAAAAGUGGGAAAUGCAAUGCUGUGAUUGGCCAAAGGUUUAUGGCUUUAAUAUAUAGAAGGAUUAGAAUGAAGUGUUCUUCUCAAAGUCUCAUUCGAUCUCCAUCACUUUGCAUUUCCUCAGCAUAGUUUGCCUUUCACAGUUCUCAGUCUCCUUCACGACCAUUGAUUCAGAGAUUUUUUUGCAAGUUGCAUUUCUCUUCCCUCUCCAAAUUCAACUUGAAUUGUGAUACGUUUGAAGAGUUGCGCCUCGAAUAUCUGACAGAUUGAGUGCAUGAGCUAGGGAUUUGGUUUAGACAGGGAAGUUAAAGGCCUCCGCGUUUUUGCGUAGUGCUAGGGAAGCGAAGCAACAUCACGAGCCGUAGCAGCCACUUUCAAAUUAGCGAAGGUUUUUAGCCAUAUUCGAUUGGCUGAUUACUUUUGUGUUUCUUUUAUUUUUUUAAUAUGCUAUGUGUUUCUUUAGCAAGGCUUAAACUUUGCAUUAAUCAUGUUUAGAUUUCAGUCUUAGUGUGUGCAGUAGUGUAGUUGCUGACAAGAAAUUGAUUUGGUUUAAGGCAGUUAAACUUGUUGGAAAAAUUCUUGAGGCAGAGAAGACUGUCAAAAUGAACAUUGAUUGAAUUGGUAAUUGAUUGUGUUAUGGAUUUCUCUAUGUAUGUUUGUUUCCUGUUAAAUGAUCUUGAUAUAUCCUACAGAUGUUAUUCUUUAUAUGAAUUUGCUAGCUACUUUUAUUGAGUGAUUUUGCAGCCAACUGUUGAGGGGAAAUCACCACCGUGAAUAGGUAAUGUGGCACAUUACACUAAUAGCUAAUGAGCAUAUCCAACUGGGGAACUACAACGAAAUAUAGGCGUAUCUGUACGUUCAUUUGGUGCUCAAUUUUGCAUUAAAUAUUGUCAAUGUAUUGCUUGAAAUAUCAAUAAGCGAUAUAGUCGCAUCUUAUCAUUUAUGAAAUGACUUGACAGGAAAAUCUCUUUAACUAUGUCAUUUAUAUAUGAAAUAACAUCUCUGAUCUAUUAUGGAAACCCAGAUUGCUAAUUUGCUAUGGAACUCCAAGUAUGUGCUCCUUUUGCAUAUAAUUUCCUCUAUCUGUCCGACUGUCCAUUUUAAUUUCAUUAUGUGUGUCCCAACUAUGUGAACUGAAUAAUCUUGGUACAGUUCUGCUAACACCUCCUAUAUGCAGGAAAAUAAGGACCUUGCAUCAGAUGAUGGAGUAAUAGGUCUGUAACACCCUAAAUUUUGUAAGUAUUUUGAGAAAA